GUGACGAUGCGACGCCGCGUGGAGGACGAAGGCCUUCGGGUUGUAAACUCCUGUGAGGGGCUUUGAAAUCCGUGGCCUCCAAUACAGACCAUGGUUGACGUCAACCCCACAGCAAGCUCCGGCUAACUUCGUGCCAGCAGCCGCGGUAAGACGAAGGGAGCAAGCGUUGUUCGGAAUUACUGGGCUUAAAGGGUGUGUAGGCGGACGGGCAUGUCGGACGUGAAAUCCCACGGCUUAACCGUGGAACUGCGUCCGAAACUGCUCGUCUUGAGUGGAGAAGGGGAGAGUGGAACUCCAGGUGGAGCGGUGAAAUGCGUUGAUAUCUGGGGGAACGCCGGUGGCGAAAGCGACUCUCUGGUCUCCAACUGACGCUGAGGCACGAAAGCCAGGGGAGCAAACGGGAUUAGAUACCCCGGUAGUCCUGGCCGUAAACGAUGGGCACUAAGUAGAGGGGUUUU
rnacentral:rRNA from 1 species